GUGGGAAAGUUACCCAGCAGCAGGGGGCGGGGAUACUGGUCCCUAUAUUAGGGGACCAGAGGACGCCCCCAGAGCUCUUUUCCUCCUGCUGCUGCUACCUGUCUGUCUCUGUGUUGCUCUGCUGUCUGUGCUUAAGGCUGUACACCCUGGGGUUUUGCUUUGCUAGCUUUCUGCUUUGUAAUUUUCUUGCUAAAUGUCUGUAUGUAUUUUUCCUGCUGUUCAUAUGAUUCAGUGUAUUAAACUCUGUUCCAAGAAUUCUACUCUUUUACAGAGCAUCUUUUUGAGUGUCUUGAUUUUAAUUGGAUUUGGGUCUCCACAUUGUUGGUGGAAGAAGGUUAUCAGGAUGGCCUCAAAAUUUGCCACCACAAUUGGCGACGUACGAAGGGACAAGGAAUUAAGGUGAUUGCUGGCAGCCUUGGGGAAUGCCAAAGCCUUGCACAUCAGAGAACACCAAGCGGCCGCUAUAAUAAGGUAAGCAGAGUUUUUUUUUCUGCUCAAUGUUGGUGUUGUCUGAGUGCAGAAGGGGGGUUCCACCUUGGCUCCAAGUAGAUUUCACCUAACCUUGAAAAGGACUUUAAUCAAAUGGUCGCUGUUAUUCUAAGUGAUAAAGUGUUACACUGUAAAAAUAACGUUGCGGAUGCUGAAGGAGUGGAGUUUAAUACUGCAUCAUAUGUGUGUGUGUUAUUCCUGUAACUUGUGUGACCCGCGGGGGGAGUGUGAGUGAGCGCUGUAUGUGUGUGUGCGUAUUUGGGGUUUUUGUGUGUGAGAGGCUGCUCUGCCCUGUGCUGGAGUACGACUCCAGGGCUGUGUUGGGGGAGUUUGGGUUUAUUUUUCCGCUAUUCUUUAGUGCAUCUGAAGAAUAGGCGUAAGUUGCGCAGAAGUAAAAAGUUGAAGUGAUGAAAAGUGAUGAAAAGUGAAAUAUAUGUCGGCACCCCCAAGGUGGUUACCGCUGGAAACCUAGUUAUCCAUUUAGGUAGACAAGGUGACACAGGUUAACUAGGUUAACCAUUUAAUUGGUUAACCUAGUUAACCCAAGUGAAUUGCUAGGUAGUCAGGACUGCUCGGGCUUUGGGGGAAUUUUGGAGAUAAGAACUCAGCACGUAACGCGGGGGCUUGGGGCUCGCAGUGGGAUUCUGAGGGCUUUCGAGUCCACCGGUCUGGACGAGCUAGAUGAACUGCGCGCGUCGCUGUAUGAAAGGCGACACCUUCGGCCAAAGUGUAAAUAUGUAAAUAGCUGUUACUAACCCUUAAGUAUAAUCACUGCUGUAAAUAUUGCUAAGUAGUAGUCUAGAGUAUAACAAUGUAUUGCUGUAAAUAUUGCUUAAAAUAACUCUUGCUGUAAAUAAGAGGAAUACGCGUAAGGGGUGGGUUUUGAUAAAUAAAUACGGAAAAGGGAAGUUAGUAGGUAGAUAAGUAAAAAGUUGUAGAGGGACUGAUUUGAGAGACUAAAAAACUGAGCUCUCUGUGCUGCAGAGCGCUGUGUCUGCAGGCAGUUUGUGAAUCAUCCCUACGGUACGUGGAGGAGUGAGAGGAGCAUCAGAGCAGUGAAAAGAGAUAAGUCGGCAAAAAUUAAGAGUUUUUGAAUAUAAAGAGGAAAAUAGACACUGCUGCUGAAAUAUAAUGUUGUUGUUUAAGGAAUUUAAACUCAAAGAUCUGUAGAAAUAAUAUUUGUCAAGCAGCAAUAUGAAGUAAGGUGGAAAAUUUGUGGGUAAAUUUCAGUAAAAGAAGAUAUUAAUUGCCAAAAUAGGGAUAAUGAGUAAAUAGGGAUUGCAGGCACUUUUUUGGAUUAUUAACUUAAAAGUAUGACCAAAAGUUAAAUUGGAAAUAGAGCUGCUUGACUAAAGUAAAAAAAAAUAAAAAAGGAUAACCUAACCUAGAGCUAAAUUAUAACAUAUCCAAACUAAUAAUAGUAAGAAUGAGAACUAUAAACUAAUUCUAAUAAUAAAACAUAGCUGGGAUAAAACCCAGGGAAAGUAAGUAAAUCACACAAACAAAUAAUAAAUGAAAUAGGGAGCUUUGUGUUGUGUUUGGAGAAAUAUAGAAGGCAGUGGUGAUGAUCUAAGACCAUCUGAACAUCUUAGUAAAGAGGGAGAGAUAGAGACUAAAUAAAUAAGAACAUGUCUGGGCUACAACGGAGAUAAGAGAGUCAAAAGAGCUUCCAUAAAUCGAUCUCAGUAAAAUGCAGGAGUUGUAGAAGAAUCUAAUAAUGUCUCAGAGUUUGCAUGUGAAAUGUAUAUUGAGGGUUUGUCAUCACUCACCAAAGAAAUAGUAAAUAAUGUUGUAGAGAGUUCUGCCGAGGGGUCAUAAACUCACCCAAAAGCAUACAGAGAGUGCAAGAGGCACCUGAGUAAUAUGAUGUGAAAUGAAUGAUUGUUGGAAAUAAAUUGUGUGACGCUCAGAGGAGUUCAGAAUAAACAGGCUGACAUGUUGGGUGAAGUGGUCAUGAGGACGAAUAAUGAACAAAUUAACAAAAAGAGACACCUGCUAGAGAUCUGUUUAAAAUGCUGCCAUCACAAAUAAGUAGUUGGGAAGAGAAAAGAAGGUAGACACGUUUAAAUGCAACUAACUGAUAUAUCAAACCCAGAGCAUAAGAGCUAAAAUCACUGGAUGGAAAAUAGUGAAGUGAAAUAGAAGAGUUUUGUUGGAAAUGGUGGUUUAAGUCAGAGAUUGUGACUUAACAAUUUCAAGUAAAGUUUAGCGCCUGUUGAGUGUGGCAGAGGGAGACAGUUAAAAAAAAAAAAAAAAAAAAAAAAAAAGGAAAAGUGUUGUAGUGAGAGAGCUCACAUCAGCUGAGCCGCUGCUGCAGGAGGCGGCCUGUAAACAGCGUCACAGGGUGUAGCUGGCUCAAGUUGCUCUGACUGUGGAGUGUGUGGGGUGGGCCCCGACAUCCUGCCAAGAGUGUCCUUGACCAGUGCACAGGCUUUCAAAUGAUCUAAGCCAAAUGUAAGUGUGUGAGAAGACGAGUAAAAGACUGACCCGCAUGUCUCAAAGAGGUUAUUGUUAUGGUGAGCUUGUGCGAAGCUCAGAGGAGUCACCUGAGACAGGAAGCAAAAUUGUUUGCUUAAAAAAAAGAAAAAGAGAAAAAGAUGUAACUUGUUUGUAAAGUUUAAGGUCCACAGCAGUGAAGAUGCUUAAACAAGUGAUCAAAUGUUGAGUACUAUGAACAAAAAAACAAAAUGUAUAAAAGAAUAGUGCCCAUCAGAGUGAGGAACAGGAAGAAAGAAGCUCUAAAUUUGAGAACAAAAUAUUAGAAGAAACACCUGGGAGGAAAAUGAUAAGGCCAGUAAACUGGUUCUCAGGUAAAUUAAAAUAAAUAUAACAAACUAUUAAAAUAAGAACAGGGAAGUAAGACAGAACUGAAUGACAGAGGGGCAAAAGACAUAACAGUAGAGAAGCAGUGGAAAGAAUUGAGAAUAAUAAUAAUUCAGCGAGUAAACAAAAAGUUUAAAUAUAAUAGUAACUGAUUAGAGUGUAAUGUUAACAAUAAUAAAACAAUAAUUAGAAAGAUGUAAUAAAUAAUGCCAUUAAGUGUAAUAGUAAAAUAAGAGGAAGAGUAGGUAAGAAUGAAAAGUGAUUACACUCAAGCACUUUAGAAAAAAAGAAUAAAAAAUUUAAAGAAAAAGAAUAUUUGGCUGGGAAAAGAAACAAUAGAAAUAAAGUUGUGGGAUGCAUGGCUGGUCAACCUGCAGCUGUGGAUCAUUAGAAAUGCUGAUCAAUAAAUAAAAAGCAUGAUUAGAUAUUGUAUGGGGGAAGGGAUUAUUAAAGGGAUCUUUGGUAUCUAAAACACUCACCUUGAUGCUGGUCAGACUGUGUGUAAUCCUUCUUCUAUAGCUAUGAGAGAAAUAACAUUUAGACGAGCUUCAGAGGUGGGUGACAUAAGAGGGCCUUAACCCUUUAAGGCCUCGAGUGUCAGGCUUGAAUCAGGAAAUAUUUAAGUUUUAAGAGUCCCAAAACAUCAGAGUGAUUUUUACCAUCCAAGAAAGUAAAUAAAUAAAUUGCACUUUAUACAUUUAAGGAAUAACUUGCAAAAUGCUGUCUUUAGCAAAUGCAAUAUGGUAAUUCUUACAUAUGCAAAAUUACUAUUGCUUUUAAUUUGUCAAGUUUAAUAGGUAUUGUGACAAAAUUUGGGGGUAAUUGUUUCAGGAAUCAGGGUUUUGAAUAGUGACAGGAUUAAUCCCACAGCUGCAUCUUGUCACUUACAGGAAAGUUGAGCAGAAAAACAUAAAACUGUUGUAUAUGAUAAUAAAGCCCCUAUGAUCUUGUUUUAGUUUUACAAGGAAAAUAAAAUAAAAGCAAAUAUAGAUAAAUCUCUGCUGCCAGUAGGAAACAGAAAGCUCCCUGAAUAAGCAGUGUGCAUCGUGCAGGGAGGAAAUACACAGGAGCAGGGUUUGGAGGGGAUGACAGAGCCUUUGUUCCAGCAAAAGCUGGUGAUUAGAAAGAAAACACAUUGACCUAAAAUGCAAUAAGGAGAAACCAAAAGUUGAGCCUUUGUACUAAAAAAACUAAACAAAAAAACAAAAACCAUGACAAAAGUGAUUAUGGCUUAGAAGAGGAGAAGUAAACACGAGAAAGUUUGAGAUGUAGGAAGUUAGAUAAAGGAACCGCAGAGUGAAGAGUGAUUAGAGAGGUGGGACAAAGACAGUUGUGAGUCAGAGGAAAGGAAGCUAAAUAGGAGAAUUCAAAGACCAGGAGUAAGAUAACAAAGAGUAACAUGAGGUCGAGCUCACAGGCAAAAGAAAAAAAUGGAGCAAAUGAAAACAGUUACUAACUAACUGAUGUAUGCACAUACUCGAAACAAUGACUCUCCUGCUAUGGAAAAAAAAGAAAUAACCCCUUACAGAUGAAGGAGCUCACCAACUGAAGGGGAGAAACACAGAGCACCAGUGAAAGACACCAGGCCAUGAGUCUGUGGAGUAGAGCAACACUGGCACUGCGAAGGCCUACGUCACUAAUGAGGCCUGCACAAAGGUGGAGAGGAGGAGUCAGCUGUAUGACGACAUCCAAUGGUUGGCACAUGUGAAAGCCCAGGAACUCCAGAGAGGAGCGUCCAAGUGAAGAUCCACAAUUCAUGAAACCGAGUCUCCUCGAGUCCAAUGAAGGACUGUAUCUGCAGAGGGCUGGAAAAGUGUAUUAAAACACACUUUUAGUCAGCUGACAUACUCAUCAAUCUGCUGAGGACUGACAAUCGAUGGCCUCUAAGAGCCAACAUCGUCUGCAUCUGGGAUGUUCUCUGUGUGGAUGUUCCUGGAGAACUCCAAGAGGAAUGUGGGCAGCACCGUAACAACAAGGAAUUUACUGCCAAGAGAAAUCUUCAGUACAUGGACUGUGACUGAUACCAGAGUACUAACUAUCCAUGUUAUCUGCAGUGAACAACAUGAAGCAGCUGCAUCAGUAAUGCUCCCAACAAACUAAUAAGUUUAAAGCCCUGGGCUCCACUCCUUGUGUUACUCUCCCAGUAGAAAAAGAACACAAAUAAUAAGAACUGGGCCACAUGAAAGCGUUAGAUGGGAGAUUAUUAGAAAUAUAUUCAUUACUAACACUCUUACAUUAGAAUAUUAUUUAAGGUUAGGAUAGUUUAAUACAUAAAGGGUGCAGACAUGACUCUCACUGACACUAGAACAGAUACACACAGAGCAUUAGAACCCCAGUAGGGCAUGGGACAGAUAAGUAAACUUAGAGAAGUUAUUAAUCACCUUAUGAGCAUUGCAUUAUUGAAGGGAUGAAACGUACACAUGGGGAUUUACUAAAAGUUGUGGUACUGAUGAAACUCAGGAUCCCUGGUAACAUGAAAUGAGAAAUUUAAACAUCUGCUGUUUCUGACCCUGAUACACUGCUCUUGGGUAUCCUCCUGACAUGUAUGUAACUGUGUGGGUGCAAAUAUGUGUGAAUCUGUGUGCAGAUAUGACAAAUAAUCUGUCUUUUAUCUUUUUCAGUGCAGCUACAUAUAGACCAGUGGCAGCUACUUCUGUUCAUGUGUUGAAGCUAAUAGUAAGAUGCUAGCUCUAAACGUGCAGCACGUUUAUCCACAACACAACAACUAUCCACAGUGCUAUAAUUCAGUGUGUGACCAAUUUGUAGUUACUUUCAAAUGGAAGAAAAAUAAAAAUGAAUGCAGUGUGGAGGAGAAAGCAGCGAAGGAUUCUGUCAUAAUCUUAACUGCAUUGGGAAAAGGGGGGAACAUAUAGCUUAGCAGAGCUAAAUUGUUAACUCUCCCAAGGAAUGAACCAAACAAAAAAAGAGAAAAUCUAAAUUAUCAGAUAUUUUGGAGGGAAAGAGGCUAAAGCCUGAUCCCCUAUAAAAUGAUCAAACCUCAAUUUAGAAACAUGGGGCAUAAAUGAUCUUUCCUGUGUGUGGCAGGGUCCAGUUGUCUGUGGAUUGACAUAUUUAAAUUACUCAAAUGCUUACUCUAGUAAAAACUGCAGAACUAAAUGCCUCUAUUCUAGUUCUCUUCUAGUUCCAGUGUGCAGAGGUAGAGUUUGAAGCACUGAGGAGGGACAUGCAGUCUGACCGGGCACAUGGCAACCAAAAGGAAAGAGAAGAACAUUUCAUUGGUAUGGGGGAAACUGGGAAGAUUAAGGUAAGGCAGAGUUGAGUCAGCAUGAUUAAGCCUUCAUAGGUGAGCAACUACUGACCUAGUAAAAUCCAAAUUUACAAACUGUUGAAGUAGACCUUUUACCCUGCAAUUAGAACUGCUUGUUUUUCAGGAGGUCUCAAUGUUCCUCAUGGCCAUCCAGGUGUAUUGUAAACAUAAUACCAGUUACAUGUAUUAUUUACGGUUCCAAAAUUUAUUAUCAUUCAAGUUAAGGAAAAUGGGGUGUGAAGUAAUUGUCUGCCUCAGAGUCCACCACCAAAAUGUGUAACAAGAUUACAGUUAGGGAAUUUCUUAUGAUUACUGUCUAUAAACAAUCCAUGCAUGGCUGAGAAAAGUUUUUUAUUAGUCUAAUACAGCUGUUUUAGCUUUUCAAUGGCUAUUUUUCUAUAAGAACAAAGGCUGUCAUGCUGUAUAGCAUUCAACAGGUAUGAAAAUGCGAUGCCAGUCAUCUAAAGGCACUUUAUUAUCUAAGGAUAAACUGCAAAAUUAAAACAUUACAAAACGAUUAUUUAUCUGACCCCCUUUUAGCAAGAAACUUGGAGAGGAGGAACUCCCUUUUUAACAGGAAUAAAUGCCCAGUAGAACUGGGCACAGGGGGGAGUGGUCAUCAGCUGUGACCAGCUGGGGUGAGGAGAAGGAGACAGGACUAAAAACAUGCUGUGUAGGAGAGUCAGAGAUUGAUAAUAACUAAUAAUAACUCAAAAGAGAGACCUAAAAACUGGAGGCCUGGCUUCCCAUUUUACUUUUAAAUAUUCUAGUAAGCUUAAAGUUCGAGAGUCAAGUGGGGAGAUACAGUACUAUAGGAGCAGGAUGGUAAUUAAAAAAAACAGAUUUAACAAGGAGCCUAUGAAGAGAAGUCAAUAGGAGAAAUAUACUCUGUCAUUCUAGUCCCUUUCAGUAUUCAUGUGCAACAUUUUGAUGUAGUUGAAUGCUUUUUAAGGAGUUUUUACCACAACCUGAUAAUAAUAAUAGCUCAGCCUAGAAGUAAUGAAUGCAUGAACUUGUCUUCCAGCAUCACUCUGGGACAGGACUUUAGAGAUAUUGCAGAAAUUGAAGAAAGCAGUCCUUAAUAUUCGCAUAUUAGCACAUAUUGGGAUUUAAAAAAAUUACUCCAAGAAACCUCACAGUGUUAAUGGAGACCAAGGUAAUGCCAUUCAGAGCAUUCCUUUAGGUUGACUGAUAGGUGUGUGUUGUUUGGCUUCAUGGAUGAAUGAGAGAGAGGCUGUCAUCAGUAUGGCAGAGGUAUGUUGUGUCUUUUGUGGUGUUACCUAAAGGAGGCAUGUGUUAUAUAAACAGAAAUAGAUCCUGGGGUGGAACCUUGUGAAGCUCAAUGGUUAGUCUUGUGUAUGUGGGAGGAUUCUUAGAAUAACAUGUUCACAAGUGUCGAACAUAGAGAUCAAUCCACUGUCAGAGGCCUUAAGAAGAUCAUUUUUAACCUUCACCAAAGCUGUCUCUAUACUGUGAUGUGCUCUGAAACCUGACUGAAACUCUUUAAAUAAGGCAUUCCUCUGUGGCUAUUUUACAGCAUCUCUUGUGGGGAUUUUUGACAUAAAGGAAAGUUGGAGAUUGGCCUAUAAUUGGCUAGGACAGUUGGGUCAAGUGAUGGUUUUUGAGUGAUGGUUUAACUACUGCCAAUAUGAAGAACUGUGUGGUCAAUGUGGCAUUGUCUAACUUAGCUUUGAAAAUUUCAAUUCUGCGGCUAUAGAGGUGUGGGAAGUUUGAUCAGCCAUAUAGCCAGCAACGCUAAGUUUUGGGCUAACAGUGCUAAUGAUGAAUUGUGAAUUGGCAGCCGGUAACAGAGUUAAUGUUUAUUCAAAUUCAGCAUAUAAAUUUGACAUGUGCUCAAUAGUGUUUAAGAACAAAGAAGAUCUUAGAGAAGCCAACAGAGCAGUUAUAGUUACUCAGCUACUAGUCGCCCUAAAGCUCCCUGGUAUCACUAGAAAACAGACAUAUUAAUACCUAAAUGAAACAACCUUGUAGAGCUUUACUAUGCACUUCCUAAAUUGAUAGCUAUGCAAAGAUAAAUAAAGCUUUCUCUUUAUAACAGCAUUUGGGACAAAUAUUUCAAAGUGCUUCACAAAAUAAAGCAAUGAAUUGGAAUUUGUUAAGGAAGAGGUUAACUAGGUACAAAUAUUAACUUUAGUACUAAGGUGCAUGUAGUCGUGAACUAACAAGACUAAAACAACUAACAUUGCAUGGCAUACUCACAAAGGUCCAUAGAUAAGUCCUCAUAAAGGGCCUGUAGAGGUAACUGUGAACAAAACUAAUGCACUCUGCAAAGUUAUCUUUCUGCAGGUGGAGAUGGUAUCUGGAUAACAGACGGAGAUGCAGAGGUCCUGGAGCAGGUGCUGGCGAUCUGAUGAUGAGUGCGAGGGGAAAACGGAGUGAAACAGGUGUUACGUCCCUCUGCAGCCUCUAAUCUGCGUCUCAUUUUGGCUGGUCCGUCUGUGUAUCCACCAUGUCUCAUCCGUGUGUUUCCCUGCUGCCCAACCGUCAUCUGUUUUCUGCUCGCGGUUAUUUGUGUUCAGGUUUGUGUUUCUGUUCAGGGUCAGUAGUUUAGUUUUUCCCAGUAUAGUUUAGUUCUCCGUUCACCAUUUUGUCCAUCUUUUGUUGUUGUGUUUGCCUUAGUGGCACCAGCCAUUUUAGCGAACCUGCCAUUUUAAGAAAAACCUCUUCUCACACUCACUCUGAUAUUCAUCUCCUUUUUUAUGUUGCGGCUUUGAGCCGGGUCGUAACACAGGCUGCUCCAGACAGCUGAACCAUGACCCAUCCAGUAGCUGUUGAAUCUGCUGCAGAGCCUACAGCCCAGGUGGAGCUGGACAGUGCCCAAACCAGCUUCCAAAUGAUGGAUGUGCAAGAUCAACUACUACCCAUCGCCGACCCUGACUUUAAUCAAGAGUAGGACCAAGUCGUCUCGAGUAUUCUUAGAAGCUAUGCAAGAUCCAGCAGUCAAGAAGUACCAUAAGAGACUUUUCUCGGACUAAUAAAUUAGUUGAAAUAUGGACUGAAAAAGGGACACAAGUUGAGUAAAGGUUGAAGCUGACUGCAGAGAAAUGUCAACCUUGAAGCUAACAAAGGACAUUUCAAAGCCCACACUGAGAAGUCUGUUCAGAAAAAGAAGUUGCACCUGACCAAGAUGAAAUCCAAAAUUGGAAAAUAAUUGUUUAAUUGUAUUAUUUUUAAUGUCACAUAUGGUGUUGUGUAAUCCAUGUAUGUAUUAUGUAUCUCUGCUGAUGUGUUUUAUGCCUUACUUUCAUUUUCCUGUAAUUAGGCUGAUUUUUAAGUUUCUUGAGUAUUCUGUUAGGGAUACUGUGUAGUAUGAUUUGCAAAUGAAGAUGAAUCAAUUUGUCUUAAAUUAAUUGACUAAGAGAAAUGGAAUGUUGGGAGAAUGUUAUGUUGAUAACUGUGAGGUUUUUGGUGGAAGGAAGGGCUUAUUCAUUUGAGCAACAACUGUGUGGGAUCUUUAUACAAAUUCUUAUGUUCUAUUUAGAGCUUGCUUUAAAAUAUGUUAGCAAAAAAACAGCGCACGCAUUAGUUUUCACAAUUUUUGUUCUUCUUUAGUCAUGGGGUCUUUUUAGGUGGUACCUCUAGGUACCACAGGGGGGAAUGUGGUGGAUUUUUGUGUGAUAUGUAUAACUAUGUAACUAUAUACACUAUAUAUUUAUGUGCACUGAACAUACAUAUUUUAACUUUCAUGUAGAGUCUUAAGCACAAGACAUUUUUGCUUCACCGAGGUUUAUUAAGUUGGUACUGUAACAGGGCAGUUAAUGUAAGGGGAGAGUUCUCUUGAAUAAUUUACUUAAUAAUUAAUUAAUUUAACAUCUUUAAUGCAGCACAACCAAAACAGUAACAUUGUAAUAGAGAUCCUGAACACAUAACGAUAAAAUAUCAUACAAAGUACACACACACACACACACACACACACACACUUUGAACCCACACUGAAGUGUUUUUAAGCAUGUAACCUGUGUAUUAUAUGUUUUAAGAUUGUGCCACUUGCUGUAUAAGAUUUAAUAAUUAGGAUUAAUGUCUGACCUUUGACCGUGUCAUGACCUAUUGUGAUAAGCCAGAGCAAGGGGUACUCAGAGUCCUGACUGGCCUUUGGCCAAGACCUUGGCCGCUAUCUGACCCCAGCAGCUGUGCGGGGCGUGUGGGAAAGUUACCCAGCAGCAGGGGGCGGGGAUACUGGUCCCUAUAUUAGGGGACCAGAGGACACCCCCAGAGCUCUUUUCCUCCUGCUGCUGCUACCUGUCUGUCUCUGUGUUGCUCUGCUGUCUGUGCUUAAGGCUGUACACCCCGGGGUUUUGCUUUGCUUGCUUUCUGCUUUGUAAUUUUCUUGCUAAAUGUCUGUAUGUAUUUUUCCUGCUGUUCAUAUGAUUCAGUGUAUUAAACUCUGUUCCAAGAAUUCUGCUCUUUUACAGAGCAUCUUUUUGAGUGUCUUGGUUUUAAUUGGAUUUGGAUCUCCACAUCGUUGGUGGAAGAAGGUUAUCAGGAUGGCUUCAAAAUUUGCGACCACAGGGUGAUGCAUUCAGGAGUGAGGGACACUCUUGUACAAAUAAGAGAGAGAUAUUGGAUCAUCCAGGCUCGGCAGCUGGUUAAGAGCAUUGUGACCAGAUGCACUGUGUGUAAGAGGUUUAAGGCAAAGGCUGGGCAUCAGCUAACUGCACCUUUGCCUAGGGACUGAAUAUCCGAGUCACCACCAUUCGAAGUUACAGGUGUGGAUUUUGCUGGGCCGCUCUAUGUGAAAACAGAGGAUUCUGUGAAAAGAUCCUGCAUUGCCCUAUUUACCUGUGCUGUGACACGAGCUGUCCAUUUAGAGCUUGUGUCAGAUCAGUUAACUGAGACAUUUUUGCUAGCGUUGAAGAGAUUCAUUGCCCGGAGAGGGCUAUGCAGAGUUAUCUAUUCUGACAAUGCCAGAACAUUUAAGAGAGCAGACCAAGAUUUGAAGGAGCUGUGGAAGACAAUUAAAGACCCACAUUUGCUGGAGUUUUUCUCGGAAGGAGGAAUUACUUGGAAGUUCAUUGCAGAAAGAGCAGCCUGGUGGGGUGGAUUCUGGGAACGUCUUGUCAGAUCAGUGAAAAUCUGCCUCAAGAAGGUGUUAGGUAGAGCUUCACUCCACUUUGAAGAAAUGUGUACUGUGUUGGCGGAAGUCGAAGCUACUCUGAACUCUUGGCCUCUCACCUUUGUGCACAACGAGGUAAAUGA
ensembl:lncRNA